AGUACGUGACGUUUCUAAGUAAAGCGAAAAUUUGCAAACCGUGAGAACAUGUUUCUAAACUUCAUAAUGUCUAUUUCUCUUGCAAACAUACCUCCUCUAAUCAUGAGCCGAUUUGACGUCGGCUUCCGAGACUCGUUUCCGAUCGAACCG
ensembl:ncRNA F26A10.7 ncRNA